rnacentral:rRNA from 1 species
AGUGAACGCUGGCGGUAGGCCUAACACAUGCGAGUCGAACGGCAGCACAGUAAGAGCUUGCUCUUACGGGUGGCGAGUGGCGGACGGGUGAGGAAUACAUCGGAAUCUACUUUUUCGUGGGGGAUAACGUAGGGAAACUUACGCUAAUACAGCAUACGACCUACGGGUGAAGGCAGGGGAUCUUCGGACCUUGCGCGAUUGAAUGAGCCGAUGUCGGAUUAGCUAGUUGGCGGGGUAAAGGCCCACCAAGGCGACGAUCCGUAGCUGGUCUGAGAGGAUGAUCAGCCACACUGGAACUGAGACACGGUCCAGACUCCUACGGGAGGCAGCAGUGGGGAAUAUUGGACAAUGGGCGCAAGCCUGAUCCAGCCAUACCGCGUGGGUGAAGAAGGCCUUCGGGUUGUAAAGCCCUUUUGUUGGGAAAGAAAAGCAGCAGGUUAAUACCCCGCUGUUCUGACGGUACCCAAAGAAUAAGCACCGGCUAACUUCGUG